GAGCACCAAAUAAAGACAAAACUGAUGAAGUGAGCGACUUGUUGUCUGGAAUAAUACAGAACCAGCAACCUCUGGAAGGUAUACCAGAUGAUGAUCACUUCAACAGUUCAGAUGAAGAACUGAGAACAAAUGAACAGAGGGAUCUGAACAGGCUGGCAGAGCCAGAGCACAGUGAGUGUGUGCCCUCCACAUCUGCUCCAGCAUCCCUGAGAAAAGAUGCUGCCACCACCUGUCAGAAUAGAGCAAGCAGAAUGACCAUCCAUGAAAAGUUAGCCAGAGAAUUCCAUGAGCAAAAAAUUAAAUUUAUGAAGGAAGAGCAUGACAUGAAAAUGAGAAUUCUACAGGCUGAAUUGGAUAUGAAGUUGGCAGAAAGAGAACAUUAUCAAGGAAAAAUAAGCCAUAGUAAAUACCUUCCAUAUUGAAAUUCAUCUUACCUAGCUGAAGUGCUGUAUUGUGAAUGCAGCUCUAUGUGCAAGUCCUUGUUGGCCAUUGCCUGCCUCAGCCA